CUUUUAGAUUUAGCAUAAUAGACUUUGGUUUUAGUUAAUUACUUAUUUGGUCAGUCUUGUAAAUUGUAAUUUUUAUUCAAUCUGAUAAUCAUUUUCAUUGAUUCAAAAAUUAUUUUGAUGGAUAAUCUAUAACAACUUUAAAAAAUAAUGAUGAUAGAUAUUCAAUCAAAGUAACUAAACUUAUUAAUGUGUUAAGAUAUUAACAUAAAAAUAUUUUCCAAACGAAUCAAAAAAUAAAGUGACCAAAUUCGAAGUAUACUAGCAACUAGCAAAGCAAAGGAGAGAGACCCACCUAACACAAUUAUUGAAUCUCAUUGCAUCGAAACUUCCAAACUACACAGUAUAUAAUGAAAGAAAGGAAGAAGCUAAGUAUAACCAUUAUAUGCAAGUCCUCCUUGUAUCUUGUCGUCACAAUGAGACUCUCUUUCUUUCUUCAAUGCUUGCUUUGUAUCUGCCUAGCACUGCUUCUUAUUCAGCCAUCCAUUGUUUUUGGGGAUGACGGAGAGGAACGAGGCCGUUUCAGCGAUCAUCCCUUAAAGUCGCCACCAAGAUCACGUAGGGCCCGUUCUACCCACCCAUGAAUCACAAAUAAAGAAUGUCAAGUUACAUAUAACUCAUUACUUUUCUGUAUAGCAAGUUUUUUUUUCAUUUUUAUUAUUCCACGGAGCUAGUUAUGAUACUCAAAUUAAUUGAGUUCCAUACCACAUCUAAUACUAUAUUAGUUUGAUAUUAUAACCAUUUAGCUUCCCUUAAAUAAUUUGCAUAGCCAAUCUGCGUGUGUAUGUAAUAUCCUUGCUUUUUCAUUCGUAUUUAUUUAUGUUAUAAUUCUUUGGUGCAGUA